rnacentral:rRNA from 1 species
UACGGAGGGUGCAAACGUUGCUCGGAAUCAUUGGGCGUAAAGCGCACGUAGGUGGUUUGUUAAGUCGGGUGUGAAAGCCCUGGGCUCAACCCAGGAAGUGCACUCGAAACUGGCAGACUUGAGUACUGAAGAGGGUCGCGGAAUUCCCGGUGUAGAGGUGAAAUUCGUAGAUAUCGGGAGGAACACCGGUGGCGAAGGCGGGUCUCUGGGCCGAUACUGACACUGAGGAGCGAAAGCGUGGGGAGCGAACAGG